rnacentral:tRNA from 1 species
GCGGGCGUGGUGGAAUUGGUAGACACGCAAGACUUAAAAUCUUGUUGCCUUUGGCAGUGCCGGUUCAAUUCCGGCCGCCCGCACCA